CAAAAUUUCCGCAGGUUAUUCUCAUGCACCUAAAGUUUAAAAAGCCUUGGCCUGGCAAGACAUUUUCUUUUCAGAAAGCCUCCUGAGGAUACGAGUGCUUCUUCAUCAGGAUAAAACUAAGUGAAAUAAGCUGGCUAAGGGGCAAAGUUCUUGUUGGAAAGUAGGUGGGAAAACACUUGUCCUGCGAAGACAGAAGAAAUUAAAACCAGAGAGGGGGAAUGCCACCGUUCUUCUACAAGGAAUCACGUGGAAAAACAUGAACACAAGAACAGACUCGAGAAUGGAGGAAGGUAUUUCUGAAUAGAUUUGAUUAGCAUGCCUCUUUCCCAGAAUAUUUCUGCAAUGAUUCAGGUAAGGAAAUUGCUGUAUUACUGAAGUCCAAAAAC
rnacentral:lncRNA from 12 species